UACGUAGGGAGCAAGCGUUAUCCGGAUUUACUGGGUGUAAAGGGCGAGUAGGCGGGUCGGCAAGUUGGGAGUGAAAUGUCGGGGCUUAACCCCGGAACUGCUUCCAAAACUGUUGAUCUUGAGUGAUGGAGAGGCAGGCGGAAUUCCCAGUGUAGCGGUGAAAUGCGUAGAUAUUGGGAGGAACACCAGUGGCGAAGGCGGCCUGCUGGACAUUAACUGACGCUGAGGAGCGAAAGCGUGGGGAGCAAACAGG
rnacentral:rRNA from 1 species